rnacentral:lncRNA from 1 species
CGAAAGUUGAUAUGAUUUGCAACGAUAAAAAAUGUUGUCUUUUAUGUUAGUAUUAGCAACAAUAUCCUCUCUGUUGUUAUUAGGUUAAUUUUUCGUUACCAAAUAUUAUAUUUUUAAUGCUAUUAGCAACGAAUUUUUUUGCUAAACAUAUAAAAAAUUGUUACUAUAUUAAAACCUGUUCAAUGCUUUGAUAACGAAUUAUAUUGUUGCCAAAUUAAAAUUUGACAUUCUUUUUAUGUACUUGACUAACUCAAUGUCUCCAUAGCAAAUAAUGGCAAAAAUAUAAAAAACUAAAAUAUUAUUAACUUAAUAAAAUCAUCCACUACAUAAUCAUUUAAUCAAAGUAUAUAUCUACAUAUAUAAAAAUAGUACACUUCAUAAAUUCGUCCCUUGUCUUCCGUAAACGUAACACGAAAAUUUGAUACCAAGUAUUGUAAGGCAGGUCGUAGAAGCAAUCUUCCUGCACAUAUUUAAAAAUAAUAGCAAGUCAGGAAAAUGAAGCAAAUAGAUCAUCAGAGACAUUUAAUGUCAAAAUCAAUACACAAAGACAAUAGAGUUACUACGUGGUACUAAUAUUAUUAAACCAACAGACUACCCACAAUAAUUACUAAAUGGUUGAGCAUAUAGAAAGAUUCCAGAGUCCUUCAACUGACUAAAUAAACUGCCUUAAACAAGAUAACAUGAAGUACAUACUAGUUUGACAAACAUACACAAGAUGGUACCAUAUGCAAUGUGCAUGUAUAAGAUUACAACAACUAUGACAAAGAUACACCUGCUCUAUGUGUCCAACUUUGAAGUAACUUUUAUGUGAAAAAAAAAAACUAAAUCUUCUAUUACACUUGGCACACAGUUCUGUAUGCCUAUUUACACGGUCCUUGAUUUUUUUUUGACAAACUCAAAAUUACUAAAUCUAGACAAACAUCAUGCAAUUUGAUACACAGUUGACGACGAAAAACUCACAACUCUAGAAGUGUACAGGCGUGUGGGGGCAUAAAACACUUGCUCUUACCAAUAUCAUUACCAUCUACCUUGAGUUGUAGAAACUAAGAUUAAGAGAGAAGAAAAAUUGUUAUAAGUUACUACGGAAGUUUCUAUGAACCCGCAACAGGAGUUCAACAAUUUGUUAGUAAGUAGUAACUACUUUACACCAACCAUGUAUAAGAAAUGAAUGUCAAAACUGAAAUAUUAAAACGUAUGCACAAUCAGAAGUUUACAUACUUUGUCAUUUUCAUGAAACUGGAACAAAGGAACCGCAAGCAAUUUUUGGUUUUUCGGUACAAUGAACUUUCUACUUUCUGNNNNNNNNNNNNNNNNNNNNNNNNNNNNNNNNNNNNNNNNNNNNNNNN